GUCGAGCGGCGAACGGGUGAGUAACGCGUAGGAAUCUGCCUGAUAGUGGGGGAUAGCCCGGGGAAACCCGGAUUAAUACCGUAUACGCCCUACGGGGGAAAGAUUUAUCGCUCCAAGAUUGGCCCGCGUCUGAUUAGUUUGUUGGUAGGGUAAUGGCCUACCAAGACUACGAUCAGUAGCUGGUUUGAGAGGAUGAUCAGCCACACUGGGACUGAGACACGGCCCAGACUCC
rnacentral:rRNA from 1 species